rnacentral:rRNA from 1 species
UCCAGACUCCUACGGGAGGCAGCAGUGGGGAAUAUUGCACAAUGGGGGAAACCCUGAUGCAGCGACGCCGCGUGAGCGAUGAAGUAUUUCGGUAUGUAAAGCUCUAUCAGCAGGGAAGAAGAUGACGGUACCUGACUAAGAAGCCCUGGCUAACUACGUGCCAGCAGCCGCGGUAAUACGUAGGGGGCAAGCGUUAUCCGGAUUUACUGGGUGUAAAGGGAGCGUAGACGGCGAUGCAAGCCAGAUGUGAAAGCCCGGGGCCCAACCCCGGGACUGCUUUGGAAACUGUGUAACUGGAGUACAGGAGGGGCAGGCGGAAUUCCUGGUGUAGCGGUGA